rnacentral:rRNA from 1 species
ACGCGGCGUACGGCUCAGUAACACGUGGCUAACCUACCCUUAGGACGGGGACAACCCCGGGAAACUGGGGCUAAUACCCGAUAGGUGAGGAGGCCUGGAACGGUUCCUAGUUGAAAAGGCGUUGAAACCAUGCUUUUCGACGUCGCCUAAGGAUGGGGCCGCGUCCGAUCAGGUUGUUGGUGGGGUAACGGCUCACCAAGCCUAUAACCGGUACGGGCCGUGAGAGCGGGAGCCCGGAGAUGGGCACUGAGACAAGGGCCCAGGCCCUACGGGGCGCAGCAGUCGCGAAAACUCCGCAAUGCGCGAAAGCGUGACGGGGCUACCCCGAGUGCCGUCCGCUGAGGAUGGCUUUUCCCCGGUGUAAUGAGCCUGGGGAAUAAGGAGAGGGCAAGUCUGGUGUCAGCCGCCGCGGUAAAACCAGCUCUCCGAGUGGUAGGGAUGAUUAUUGGGCUUAAAGCGUCCGUAGCCGGCUUAGCAAGUCUCCUGUUAAAUUCAGCGACCUAAUCGUUGAGCCGCGGGAGAUACUACUAGGCUAGGGGGCGGGAGAGGCCGACGGUAUUCUCGGGGUAGGGGUGAAAUCCUAUAAUCCCGGGAGGACCACCAGUGGCGAAGGCUGUCGGCUAGAACGCGCUCGACGGUGAGGGACGAAAGCUGGGGGAGCGAACCGGAUUAGAUACCCGGGUAGUCCCAGCUGUAAACGAUGCGAGCUAGGUGUUGGGGUGGCUACGAGCCACUUCAGUGCCGCAGGGAAGCCAUUAAGCUCGCCGCCUGGGGAGUACGGCCGCAAGGCUGAAACUUAAAGGAAUU